rnacentral:rRNA from 1 species
UACGUAGGGGGCAAGCGUUGUCCGGAUUUAUUGGGCGUAAAGAGCGUGUAGGCGGCCGUACAGGUCAGCUGUGAAAACUCGAGGCUCAACCUCGAGACGUCGGUUGAAACCGUACGGCUAGAGUCCGGAAGAGGAGAGUGGAAUUCCCGGUGUAGCGGUGAAAUGCGCAGAUAUCGGGAAGAACACCCGUGGCGAAGGCGGCUCUCUGGGACGGUACUGACACUGAGACGCGAAAGCGUGGGGAGCGAACAGG